GCAUACUUCUGCUUGUUCUCUGGCACUUGCUAUCAGUACAAGAAGAAUUUCCUCUGGGUAGUGGCUGCUACUUGUUGUGAGUCUGGGGGAAACACUAUUGGAGGUGACAAGAGUCCAAACUGCAAUGAUGUGCCACAUUCACCCAGCUGCAUCUGAACUGAAGCAGGGCCCCAGCCAAGCCUUGCCUGAGAUCAGCAGACCCUCGAUGACCCACAAAAAUAUUGCUUGAAAAAAAAAAUACACGCACUGAAAAUGGCCAGAAUUGGUGAGGAUAAGUAUCUGCUUAGGACACAGAAGUCAAUUACACCCAAACCCUGGAUGGAAUCAGAAUCAGAAUCAGCCAUGCAAUGAGGAAGAAGAAAUGUAAGUUGCGGCCUGUGAUUCCAACAGUUCUCUUUCUGGAAUGGCUACCAAGAGAAAGUGUCCUGCAAAUCACAGUGUCCAACAGAAUCAACACUGCUAAACACACUCCCACUGGAGUACGGAGAAAGGGGAUCCACAGAAGAGCCUAAUCCUGAACCACUUCCAUGUAUUUGCCCAUCCAUUUCUCCUCUCUGGCCAAUACUCUUCAUAUUCAAAUUCUACCAGUCCUUCAAAGAUCAGAUUAAGUUCCAAAAUUUCAAAAGCCUUCUCAGCCUACUCUUACAGCUGAAUAGUGCAUACCAACUUCAAUUAAUUAUAAACUCAUGUUUCAUUUUGUAUUAUUUAAUAGAAACAUUGGAAUUUAAUCUUUGUGUUUUUUACAUUUUGUUUUCUCCACUAGAUUACCAACUUGAUGACAUGAACCACUUAUUAGAAUUCUUUUGUAGCUUGUAACUGUAUUAGGCACAGUUUCUUGAAGAAAUUAAGCACAUAUUUACAUGUUUUAAAUAACUUUGUAUUGAUUUGCAUAUGUAUGAAGGAGGUAUGUCAUACUUGGCUUUAGAAAAAAGUCUCGUCUAAUAUUCAAGGAACCAGUCUGUGACCUUUGUUUAUUAUGUAAUUUUUUGAAACACAAUCUAUAUUUACAAUCCUAUUAGCUGUUACUGGAUAUAUAUUUAUGGAAGAAUAUAACACUACUUCUUCUUUAUUACAUACAAUUUGGAUACUCUUCUGCCUUCGCCAUUAACUAUACAUUAAGACAGUUCACAUAACUUUAUUUUUUAUUUUCUGUUUUUUUUUAGAGAUGGAGGUCUAACUAUGUUGCCCAGGCUGGCCUCGAACUCCUGGGCUCAAGUAAUCCUUCACCUCAGUCUCUCAAGUUGCAGGGAUUACUGGCUUGAGCCACUGUGCCUGGCAGUUUACACAACUUUAAUUGCUGGUUUAUGUAUAAAUUUCCUUCUAUAAUCUAGUCAGAAUCUAGUCAACCUACUACUGCAUAAAAAUUUGCUGAAUAUCUCCCAAGAGCUAGCCCUCAUAAAGGGUUUUAAGGCUCUCAAUAAGCUUAAUAUACAGAAAUAAACUGCAUUGGCUGUAUAUUUGCACAAAAGUUGUAAACUUGGCUGCUGCAGAGCAAUUUAUGUACAUACGGUACCUGUUUCUUUGGCUGUCCUUUUUUUGUGUAACAAUUACUAAUAUACAUUCCCUUUUAUCUAAAAAAAUCCCUAUGUACUAAUGAAACCUCUGCCAGAGGAUAUAAGGAACACGAAAAUAGUAUAAGACACAUUUCUUGUGCCUGAUGAAUUUACACCCUUGUCAGGAAGAUAAACAUAUGUAUAAAUUGUACCUACAGAAAAUACAUAAUAUAGUGUGAUCAGACUGAAUGACUUGGUAACUGAGAAAAAUAAAAAUAAACUGAAUAGGAAAAAAUGUCCUAAGCAUUGCAUUUAAAUAUCAUACCUGGAUUAGGACUCAUUUUAUGGGCAUAUAUCAGUGCAAGUAGAGAACAAAGUGAUACAUCUUGUUUAUUUUUAAUAGCCUCAAAUUCUCGAAGAGCUUCUUGAGUUUUACCUGAAAAUCAAGAUUAUGAUAUGAAAAACUGUUCUUAGUGCAAAGCAAGAAUUUAAAACUGAUGGAACAUGUUUAAUGAUUAACACGUACCUUCCAUUAAUGUGCCAUAGGCAUGAUAAAACCUGAAGACUGGAUCACUUCCAUACCUCUUAAUUCCUUCACUGGCAACCAGUAAUACAUGAUGGAAAUAUCUCUCUUGACAAUAGUAAUUAAUCAAAGUCUAAAUGGAAAUAAUGAAAAAAUGUUAUAAAGGAAUUCUGGUGCUCUGAAAUACUCUAAGAAGCAGAUAAUAAUCUAACAUCUAGAAUAAUGUAAAAUUCAGGCAAUGUGACUUUUUUCUUCCAAGUUUCUUAAAAUACUAUUAAUGGCUAGAACUCAAUGCUAAGG
rnacentral:lncRNA from 1 species